GUAACGUAAAGCACACACAGCAAAACUGAACUAUAAUCAAUUGCUGUUCAGCCAUGGCACGUCUUGGUGGAUGGUGGCUUCCUUUUCUCAUGUUAGCAGGUUACACAUCUGGUGAGGGAAUAGAACCAAGUUCUUCCACUGUCAGUGUUCUACAGGGAGACUCUGUUACUCUGUCCUGCAGUUACAAUGGAUCUACUACAACUGAUGAACUGCUGUGGUAUCGUCAGUAUUCCAGAUCCAGGCCUGAGUUCCUGAUCUUGGUCAAUGAAGCUAACUUUACACAAAAAGCUGUUCCUCCAGUUGCUGGAGUGUCUGCAAAUGUAAAUGAAGAGAAAACGCGUGUGGAUCUGUUGAUCUCCUCUGCUGCAGUAUCAGACUCUGCACUCUACUACUGUGCU